rnacentral:rRNA from 1 species
UCAUCACCACGGACGUUAAGCUUGCUUCUCUGAUGUUAGCGGCGGACGGGUGAGUAACACGUGGAUAACCUACCUAUAAGACUGGGAUAACUUCGGGAAACCGGAGCUAAUACCGGAUAAUAUUUUGAACCGCAUGGUUCAAAAGUGAAAGACGGUCUUGCUGUCACUUAUAGAUGGAUCCGCGCUGCAUUAGCUAGUUGGUAAGGUAACGGCUUACCAAGGCAACGAUGCAUAGCCGACCUGAGAGGGUGAUCGGCCACACUGGAACUGAGACACGGUCCAGACUCCUACGGGAGGCAGCAGUAGGGAAUCUUCCGCAAUGGGCGAAAGCCUGACGGAGCAACGCCGCGUGAGUGAUGAAGGUCUUCGGAUCGUAAAACUCUGUUAUUAGGGAAGAACAUAUGUGUAAGUAACUGUGCACAUCUUGACGGUACCUAAUCAGAAAGCCACGGCUAACUACGUGCCAGCAGCCGCGGUAAUACGUAGGUGGCAAGCGUUAUCCGGAAUUAUUGGGCGUAAAGCGCGCGUAGGCGGUUUUUUAAGUCUGAUGUGAAAGCCCACGGCUCAACCGUGGAGGGUCAUUGGAAACUGGAAAACUUGAGUGCAGAAGAGGAAAGUGGAAUUCCAUGUGUAGCGGUGAAAUGCGCAGAGAUAUGGAGGAACACCAGUGGCGAAGGCGACUUUCUGGUCUGUAACUGACGCUGAUGUGCGAAAGCGUGGGGAUCAAACAGGAUUAGAUACCCUGGUAGUCCACGCCNGUAAACGAUGAGUGCUAAGUGUUAGGGGGUUUCCGCCCCUUAGUGCUGCAGCUAACGCAUAAGAGUGCUGAUUCAGGCCCCCGACAG